GCGAGGGUGGUGAAAUUGGUAGACACGCUGGACUUAGGAUCCAGUGGGUAAAACCAUGCGGGUUCGACUCCCGCCCUUCGCA
rnacentral:tRNA from 1 species